rnacentral:rRNA from 1 species
AGUUUGAUCCUGGCUCAGAUUGAACGCUGGCGGCAUGCCUUACACAUGCAAGUCGAACGGCAGCACGGGGGCAACCCUGGUGGCGAGUGGCGAACGGGUGAGUAAUAUAUCGGAACGUGCCCUGGAGUGGGGGAUAACUAGUCGAAAGAUUAGCUAAUACCGCAUACGAUCUACGGAUGAAAGUGGGGGACCCGCAAGGGCCUCAUGCUCCUGGAGCGGCCGAUAUCUGAUUAGCUAGUUGGUGAGGUAAAGGCUCACCAAGGCAUCGAUCAGUAGCUGGUCUGAGAGGACGACCAGCCACACUGGGACUGAGACACGGCCCAGACUCCUACGGGAGGCAGCAGUGGGGAAUUUUGGACAAUGGGCGCAAGCCUGAUCCAGCAAUGCCGCGUGAGUGAAGAAAGCCUUCGGGUUGUAAAGCUCUUUUUGUCAGGGAAGAAACGGUGAGGGCGAAUACCCUUUGCUCAUGACCGGCACCUGAAGAAUAAUCACCGGCUAACUA